rnacentral:lncRNA from 10 species
GCGCUCUGGCGCCGCCGCGGUCGCUCUAGGAAAGUGGCGGAGCGACCCUCUAUGGUCCCGGGCCCACCCGAAAGCGUUGUUCGUUUCUUCCUGUGGUUUUGUUUUCUCCUCCCCCCAACUCGGAAGGCGUCCUGUGACCCCCGGGACCUCAAGAGCUGUAACCGCCCCUGUGUGUGGUCGAGGCUUUUGAAACCAAACUCUAGCCUCUCCAACCUAGAAACUGCAUACUUUCCACAAAUUUUGAGAUUUUUGAGACCCUGGUACUUUUCACGAAGUCACCUUAAUUAUCACCAAAAAGCUCCUGCAAGAUGGGAGUGGUUAUACUCCAUUUACAGGAAAGGAACCAAGGCUCAGAGAAGAAAUGUGCUCCGUUCACCGUGUGCUCCUCCUCAGCCAUCCUGGCCGUGCUCAGUCAUCUGACCAGCUGACCUCCGUGUUCCCCCACUCCCUGGGGAGCUCCUCCGCCUUUUGGCUUCCAAUGCUAUUGCUGCAUGCUGAAGACUCCCGCAUUGGGAGCUGUCUCUGCAUAUGGCAAAGCACAAAGCUGAAUGAGGUCUGGACAAAGAAGCUCCACUCGCAAUCUAGAGAGUAUCUGGACUAUUGCAGUGAUUAAAUGAGGGGAAGUAUUGAAAGUCAUUGAAAGUCAUCCCCACCCACUAGAGGAGAGAAACGCAAGCCCAGAAAAGGCAAGAGGUACACAGGCAUCCACGGGACAGUGGUGAUGGGGCUGAGCACUGCCUUCCAGAGCUGCUGCUGGGCAUUGAGCGGGCAGCACCCUCUCAAUGCCAUGUGGACCCUCCUCAAUGUGAUUGAAUGACCGUGUUUCUUGCAGCAAGCUCCUUGUAAGAAUCGCUUUAGGUCUCUCUGAUGAAGUAAAGAUUGAUUUCUGCAGA